UAGGGAAUCUCGCGCAAUGGGCGAAAGCCUGACGCAGCAACGCCGCGUGCGGGAUGACGGCCUUCGGGUUGUAAACCGCUUUCAGCAGGGACGAAAUUGACGGUACCUGCAGAAGAAGCACCGGCCAACUACGUGCCAGCAGCCGCGGUAAUACGUAGGGUGCAAGCGUUGUCCGGAUUUAUUGGGCGUAAAGGGCUUUUAGGCGGCUUAGCAAGUCGGGUGUGAAACCUCCAGGCUCAACCUGGAGUCGCCAUUCGAUACUGCUAUGGCUAGAGUCUGGUAGGGGAUCACGGAAUUCCUGGUGUAGCGGUGAAAUGCAUAGAUAUCAGGAGGAACACCGGUGGCGAAGGCGGUGAUCUGGGCCAGUACUGACGCUGAAGAGCGAAAGCGUGGGUAGCGAACAG
rnacentral:rRNA from 1 species